GCUUGAGAUGGAGCCUGCCCUUUUGCACUGCUGCCAUUGCCAUGAGUAGACUAUGGCUUAGCAAGCCCAUUUGCCACACAAAACUGCAGAACGCAUGGAGCAGAGCCACUCAUCCAACCCAGAGACUGGCAGUGUCUCCCGGGCCACAUGGCCACUUCUUGCCAAUGGGACGGGCCCAAGUAAUGAGUGUCACUUUUGCCAAGUCUUCUAAAAAGCGUGACCAGUCUUAAUGAAUGCUUAUGGAAUCCACACACAGCACAUGGUUUAUGAGACUUGAGGUCUCUGUCUCUUGCAGAACAUCGUGGCCACUCAUCGAAGAACAUUUGCUGUUUGCAAAGGUCUUUGAAUCACAUAUGAGAAUUGCCAGUGGGAAGAUUUUUCAACUUUCACUUGUAGCCAUCAUCAAUCAAAAGAUUCCCAUUAAUCAGUCAGGUGGUCAACAAAUAUUGAUUGAAGACUUAUUUUAGAAGAUCAGGAGUCAGGUUAAAGGAAUAAAUCAGAAAAAGAAUCAUUGCACUCAGGGGAUUCACAUUCCAGUGACAGUUGCCUGACUAGUUCUGAUCAUUCCAUUCUGGCCCUCAUUGGCUUUGGCCUCAUCUGCCUUUGUAUAUGAUUAACACGAUAAGUCUUCUAGUGCAAACCUGCAUAAAAUACCUCCAUAAGAGAGAGAGUCAUAAAGGCUGCUGUGCCAUAGAUUUGCGUGCUGGAUCUCAGCUUCACGGUUUUCCUUCUAUAUUCUCUUACUUAUUAGAGAGGGUUGAAUCUACAAACUACAUUUCUCAGUCUCUAGUCAUUUGACUUCAGCCCUGCUCUACCAAUGAGAUGCACUAGCAUAAGGUUGGAAGGCAGGAUAGGAGACUGAGGCUGACAGCGGAUCUCAGCAAGACUGUCAGUAAGCCCAGCAGGUCUUUGUGACAGCAGGCACCUGGGAUACUGCAGCUUUGAUAGGAAUUCCUGGGCUCUCUUGGGGAUGUAGGCAGCAGAAACUCACAGACUGUCCCCAAGCACCUCUGCCAGGAUGAAUCAGCUCCAGCCAUUUCAUGUAUAAUGGCAUCACUCUACUUCACAUGUAACAUCCAUGGACAAGCCUGAUUGGCUUAGCUCUAGCUCAGACCCACACCUUGGCUAGAGAAGGUCUAGCUACUCUCAAGGACAGACCCACCAGACCAGAUCUACUGGAGGAAUGGUAUUGUCUGCAAAUGCAAGACAGGAUGCUAAUAAUAGAAGAUACAAGAGAACGUUGAUGGUGACUUCAGACAUAAGUCCAGCCAUACUAUUACUCUGUACUCUGCUCAAAACCCUGCUGUGGCUCCCCAUACUGUUUUGGGUUAAGUCUAACCCAGCAUGGCCUACAAUGAAACAUGUCACCCACUCUCUUUCCUUGCACUGACGGUUGCUUCCCAUGUCCUGCAUUUAAGAUCCAACACUUGUAGUU